UAAAAUAAAUAUGAUUUUUUAUUAAUGGUGUUAGAAAAAAUAGUUAUAUUAGGGGCAUUUGUGCAAAAAUAGUGUUUUAUGAGGGUACAGAAAUAAAUAUAAAUUUUAAGAGGGUAUUUAUGCAAAUUUGAAUUUUUAGAAGGGUAUUUAUGCAAAAAAUUCCAAAAGAGUUGAAUUGCUUCAAGCGAUAUGUCUGCAUUAUAUAUAUAUAUAUAUAUUACUAAUCUUUCAUAAAUUUCAAUGUUUUAAAAUAUUUUUUAUUAAUUUUUAGAUGAUAAAUUAAUAUUUAAUUAUAAAAUAUCUAAAAAAUUAAUUUUAAUCCGGAUUAAUGUAGAACCUAUUAAGGGUACCACAUAUAUUUUUUCAGCUUAUGAGUACGCAUUAAUCAUCACUAAAUUUGAAAUUUAUUUGAAUCCGAGCUUAGAUUCGGGUAGCCAUAAUCAUGCCCAAAUUUAAAUAAAUUGCUAGCAAAAUAGCAAAGUAAUAUGAUACUCCCAAAUAUGCUACCAUUUUUUAUAUUUUUUUUGAAUUUUAUUUUAUUUAUUAUUAUUUUUUGAUCAAAAAAUAUGUUUUAAUAUGAAAAAUUACAUGAUCAUCGAAAAAUCAUGAUUUCUUCUUCAGUGCAAAGAUCAUUCUUAAAUCUACAGUAUAUCAUGAUAUGAUUUCUCCUUAUUUUUCCUUUUUUGCCUAUUUUAGGUAUCAGAAGAAAAAAAGAGAAUGGGAUAAUAGAGGGGGUUAUACCUGAUCUCGGAGGAAUUUAGCCUCAAAUCCGGCAAGAAAACCCUUUCCCCUUCAUUUUAUCUUGGAUUGUUUUCCGAAUA
rnacentral:lncRNA from 1 species